rnacentral:lncRNA from 1 species
GCAGGACGUGCGAAAAGCCCUUUCCCUGCACGUUAGAUCGCGCAUAUGUGUGGGUGCCCAGUUGCACAUGCAGGAGGCCUGCGCUCGCGGACACCCCAUCAAAUGCAUGCAAGAGCAUACCAUACGCCCAAACAAGGCACACACGUACGAGGGACCCCACGCGUAUGCAGACACGCUUCAGGCGAGUGCAGGAGGCAAGAGCACAUGCAGCAUGCGCAAGAAUUGUCGUGUACAUGGGCGGGCCGUGCAUGCCC